rnacentral:tRNA from 1 species
AGGGAGCUAGUCUAAAAAAGACCUCUGAUUUCGGCUCAGAAAAUUAUGGUUUAAGUCCAUGGCCCCCUU